UACGUAGGGUGCAAGCGUUAAUCGGAAUUACUGGGCGUAAAGCGUGCGCAGGCGGUUGUGCAAGACAGAUGUGAAAUCCCCGGGCUUAACCUGGGAAUUGCAUUUGUGACUGCACGGCUAGAGUGUGUCAGAGGGGGGUAGAAUUCCACGUGUGAGCAGUGAAAUGCGUAGAUAUGUGGAGGAAUACCGAUGGCGAAGGCAGCCCCCUGGGAUAACACUGACGCCUCAUGCACGAAAGCGUGGGGAGCAAACAGG
rnacentral:rRNA from 1 species